rnacentral:rRNA from 1 species
UACGGGGGGAGCAAGCGUUGUUCGGAUUUACUGGGCGUAAAGGGCGCGUAGGCGGCCACCGCAAGUCGGUUGUGAAAUCUCCGGGCUUAACCCGGAAAGGUCAAUCGAUACUGCAGGGCUAGAGUGCAGAAGGGGCAACUGGAAUUCUCGGUGUAGCGGUGAAAUGCGUAGAUAUCGAGAGGAACACCUGCGGCGAAGGCGGGUUGCUGGGCUGACACUGACGCUGAGGCGCGAAAGCUAGGGUAGCGAACGGG